GAAUGCUGACAUAAGUAACGAUAAAGCGGGUGAAAAGCCCGCUCGCCGGAAGACCAAGGGUUCCUGUCCAACGUUAAUCGGGGCAGGGUGAGUCGACCCCUAAGGCGAGGCCGAAAGGCGUAGUCGAUGGGAAACGGGUUAAUAUUCCCGUACUUGGUGUUACUGCGAAGGGGGGACGGAGAAGGCUAUGUUGGCCGGGCGACGGUUGUCCCGG
rnacentral:rRNA from 1 species